CCUUCCGUACCGCAAACCGACUCAGGUGGGCGGGGUGAAGAUCCCAAGGCGCGUGAGAGAACCCUGGCUAAGGAACUCGCAAAAUGACACCGUAACUUCGGGAGAAGGUGUGCCGGCUUGCGUGAAAGGCUUGCGCCUGGAGCGUCGGCUGGUCGCAGAGAAAUGGGGGUUGUGACUGUUUACUAAAAACACAGGACUCUGCGAAGUCGCAAGACGACGUAUAGGGUCUGAUGCCUGCCCGGUGCUGGAAGGUUAAGGGGACGAGUCAGCGCAAGCGAAGCUCCGAACCGAAGCCCCAGUAAACGGCGGCCGUAACAGUAACGGUCCUAAGGUAGCGAAAUUCCUUGUCGGGUAAGUUCCGACCUGCACGAAUGGCAUAACAACAUCCCCGCUGUCUCGGCCAGGGACUCAGCGAAAUUGUAUCGGGGGUGAAGAUACCCUCUACCCGCGGCAAGACGGAAAGACCCCAUGAACCUUUACUGCAACUUGGCAGUGGUUUUCGGGAUGUUCUGCGUAGGAUAGGUGGGAGGCUUUGAGGCCGGGCUUCUGGGUUCGGCGGAGCCAGCGUUGAAAUACCACCCUGGACUUUCUGGAAACCUAACCUGGACCCAUGACCUGGGUCGGGGACACUGCCUGGUGGGCAGUUUUGACUGGGGCGGUCGCCUCCUAAAAAGUAACGGAGGCGUGCGAAGGUUCCCUCAGCGUGAUUGGAAACCACGCGUAGAGUGCAAACGCACAAGGGAGCUUAACUGCGAGACCGACAGGUCGAGCAGGUGCGAAAGCAGGCGUUAGUGAUCCGGUGGUUCUGUAUGGAAGGGCCAUCGCUCAUCGGAUAAAAGGUACUCUGGGGAUAACAGGCUGAUCGCGCCUGAGAGUUCACAUCGGCGGCGCGGUUUGGCACCUCGAUGUCGGCCCAUCGCAUCCUGGGGCUGGAGCAGGUCCCAAGGGUUCGGCUGUUCGCCGAUUAAAGCGGUACGCGAGCUGGGUUUAAAACGUCGUGAGACAGUUUGGUCCCUAUCUGCCGUGGACGUAGGAUGCUUGAGAGGAGCUAACCAUAGUACGAGAGGACCUGGUUGGACGUGCCUCUAGUGCGCCGGUUGUCCUGCCAAGGGCAUAGCCGGGUAGCCAUGCACGGAACGGAUAACCGCUGAAAGCAUCUAAGCGGGAAGCCGGCCUCAAGACAAGGCAUCCCGAGUCGCAAGACUCCUCAAGACCCCUCGUAGACCACGAGGUUGAUCGGCUGGGUGUGGAAGCACGGCAACGUGUGGAGCUAACCAGUACGAAUCGGUCGUGCGGCUUGACCG
rnacentral:rRNA from 1 species